UCUCUCUCUCUCUCUCUCUCUCUCUCUCUCUCUUUCUCACACACAGAGAGAGAGAGAGAGAGAGAGAGAGCGAGCGAGAGAGAGAGA
rnacentral:miRNA from 1 species